rnacentral:rRNA from 1 species
AUUGAACGCUGGCGGCAGGCCUAACACAUGCAAGUCGAGCGGAGCGGCGGACGGGUGAGUAAUGCCUAGGAAUCUGCCUGGUCGUGGGGGAUAACGUCCGGAAACGGUCGCUAAUACCGCAUCCUAUCAGAUUCGCCUAGGUCGGAUUAGCUAGUUGGUGGGGUAAAGGCCUACCACGGCGACGAUCCGUAACUGGUCUGAGAGGAUGAUCAGUCACACUGGAACUGAGAGACGGUCCAGAGUCAUACGGGAGGCAGCAGUGGGGAAUAUUGGACAAUGGGCGAAAGCCUGAGCCAGCCAUGCCGCGUGUGUGAAGAAGGUCGUCGGAUUGUAAAGCACUUUAAGAUGGGAGGCGUUACCAACAGAAUAAGCACAGGCUAACUUCGUGCCAGCAGCCGCGGUAAUAC